rnacentral:tRNA from 1 species
AACAAAGUAGUUUAUAACUAGAACAAAAAUUUUGCGUAUUUUAAGUAAGUAAUUAUUACUUCUUUGUUU